UACAGAGGGGGCAAGCGUUAUUCGGAAUUAUUGGGCGUAAAGGGCGCGUAGGCGGCCGGACAAGUGGAAGGUGAAAUCCCCGAGCUCAACUCGGGAACUGCCCUCCAAACUGUUUGGCUUGAGUCCGGGAGAGGUGAGUGGAAUUCCCAGUGUAGCGGUGAAAUGCGUAGAUAUUGGGAGGAACACCAGUGGCGAAGGCGGCUCACUGGACCGGAACUGACGCUGAGGCGCGAAAGCGUGGGGAGCAAUCAGG
rnacentral:rRNA from 1 species